rnacentral:rRNA from 1 species
AGAGUUUGAUCCUGGCUCAGGAUGAACGCUGGCGGCGUGCUUAACACAUGCAAGUCGAGCGAAGCAGUUAAGUUGAUUUCUUCGGAUUGAUUCUUGACUGACUGAGCGGCGGACGGGUGAGUAACGCGUGGGUGACCUGCCCCAUACCGGGGGAUAACAGCUGGAAACGGCUGCUAAUACCGCAUAAGCGCACAGAGCUGCAUGGCUCGGUGUGAAAAACUCCGGUGGUAUGGGAUGGGCCCGCGUCUGAUUAGGCAGUUGGCGGGGUAACGGCCCACCAAACCGACGAUCAGUAGCCGGCCUGAGAGGGCGACCGGCCACAUUGGGACUGAGACACGGCCCAAACUCCUACGGGAGGCAGCAGUGGGGAAUAUUGCACAAUGGGGGAAACCCUGAUGCAGCGACGCCGCGUGAGCGAUGAAAUAUUUCGGUAUGUAAAGCUCUAUCAGCAGGGAAGAUAAUGACGGUACCUGACUAAGAAGCACCGGCUAAAUACGUGCCAGCAGCCGCGGUAAUACGUAUGGUGCAAGCGUUAUCCGGAUUUACUGGGUGUAAAGGGAGCGCAGGCGGUGCGGCAAGUCUGAUGUGAAAUCCCGGGGCUCAACCCCGGUACUGCAUUGGAAACUGUCGUACUAGAGUGUCGGAGGGGUAAGCGGAAUUCCUAGUGUAGCGGUGAAAUGCGUAGAUAUUAGGAGGAACACCAGUGGCGAAGGCGGCUUACUGGACGAUAACUGACGCUGAGGCUCGAAAGCGUGGGGAGCAAACAGAAUUAGAUACCCUGGUAGUCCACGCCGUAAACG